GAUAUUUAAGUGGAAAUGCUUCAGAAAUCCUCAUUUUUCAUUUCUAACUCUCUCUCUUCGUUCCACCCUCUCUCGCUCUUCUCUCUUUCUCUUUUUGACCACCCUUCUUCGGCCACCCUAUUCCCUAGAAACCACCAUAAUCCCCAGUUUUCGGUUGAAGUUCAAUCGGAAACUUCAUCCCCUACCCAUAACGCGAUGAAUGUUCUUCAUGAACAUUCAUCCGAAAACCUGGAUCUUCAACCUUACCCAUAACCUCUCUAAACCCUUAAGAACCCUAACAUGGAUUCCUCAUGAACCCUAACACAUAAACCUAGAAAUGGUGAACCUUAGGGUUCCCCUGAUGAACCCUAACCCUAACCCUAACCCGAGCCCAUAAAUGCCCUAAACUUACCCAAAUUGAACCCUUAGCCCACCUUGAAACACAACUAACCUAUCUUAAACCCAAAUCAAACACAAACAAACACCAAAUCAUAAAUUAACAUCAAAUAGAGAUCAUCAACAAAAGAAACAAGCACACAUCAACUAAUCACAAUCAAACAAGAAGAAUGAUGCUUGCAACCAACCUACAAAGAUGUGAAGUUCUCCGGUCAAAAAGGUAACUUUGGAUCUGUGGUGGAAAGCUAGCUCAAGUUCUAUAGGAUUUCAAUGUGAAAACCCAAACACUUCUAAAAUUGGAGCUUUUGGAUGUAGGUUAGGCAUUUGCAUAAGAAAAUAGUCUUAGGUUUUUUUUCUCAUCCUUAAUCAUGUUUUAGGUUUAGCUAUUUAUAUAAUUAGGAUUAGACUUAGAAUUUAAGUUAGGUGAAUAUUUUAGGAAGUUUUGAAUCUGAUUGAUUGUAAUUGAUUUAGUUAAGAAUUAGGGUUUUUAGGAUUUGAUGUAUUUGGUCAUAAUUGCCUUGUAAAUCUAAUUUUGAAUGUAUCAGGAUUCUAUUAAAGAAAAGUUUUUAUUCAAUAUUUCUUCA